rnacentral:rRNA from 1 species
AACGAACGCUGGCGGCAGGCUUAACACAUGCAAGUCGAACGAUCCUUCGGGAUAGUGGCAGACGGGUGAGUAACGCGUGGGAACCUACCUAUCGGUUCGGAAUAACUCGGGGAAACUCGGGCUAAUACCGGAUACGUCCUUCGGGAGAAAGAUUUAUCGCCGAUAGAUGGGCCCGCGUUGGAUUAGCUAGUUGGUGAGGUAACGGCUCACCAAGGCGACGAUCCAUAGCUGGUCUGAGAGGAUGAUCAGCCACACUGGGACUGAGACACGGCCCAGACUCCUACGGGAGGCAGCAGUGGGGAAUAUUGGACAAUGGGGGCAACCCUGAUCCAGCCAUGCCGCGUGAGUGAUGAAGGCCCUAGGGUUGUAAAACUCUUUCACCGGUGAAGAUAAUGACGGUAACCGGAGAAGAAGCCCCGGCUAACUUCGUGCCAGCCGCCGCCGUAACAC